AUCUUUGUUUGGUUUUCUUGUUUUAAUGCAUUUUAGUGUUUAAACCAUCUACCCAAGUGGUGUAAUCAAAUAUUGCUAAAAUGCAAGAAAACAAGAAAACCAAACAAAGAC